UACGGGGGGGGCAAGCGUGGUUCGGAAUUACUGGGCGUAAAGGGCGCGCAGGCGGCCGCUCAAGUCCGAUGUGAAAGCCCCGGGCUCAACCUGGGAACUGCAUUUGAUACUGAGUGGCUAGAGUUCGGGAGAGGAGAGUGGAAUUCCCAGUGUAGAGGUGAAAUUCGUAGAUAUUGGGAAGAUCACCGGUUGCGACGGCGGCUCCCUGGACCGACACUGACGCUGAGGCGCGAAAGCGUGGGGAGCAAACAGG
rnacentral:rRNA from 1 species